rnacentral:misc_RNA from 1 species
CCGAGAACCUGCCCUCUGGGUAGAUCUCCCACCCUAUGUUUACAUACUUUGUUGCUUUGGCAGGCCUGCCUUGGCUACCGGCUACGGCUGGUGAGUGCCUGCCAGAGGACCCAACAUACUGAUUAAUUUAUUGUCUGAGUACUAUAAAAUAGUUA